rnacentral:lncRNA from 1 species
UCGGCUUCUCGCGCUCGCGCCCGCAGCGCCGCCCUUCCUCGUCGCCCGCCGGAGUUUCGCCUGAGCGCCCUUCCCGCUGGUUCACCCCGCCGAGCUCGCUCCUUUACCAACCUGCUGCUGCCACUUUUAUUCUUCAUUUUAAUUUUAACAAGCUGCUAUUUUUUUGCUAACUCCCUCUGUUAACUAUUUCUACCAUUUAUUCUUCACACACACUCUCGGCAGCGAUUCUUCGCCGUUCGCAAACCCCCGGCAGCGAACUUCGGCGGCGACACUUCAGCGGCAGCGAACUUCGAUAGAGCUAACGAGCCGAACACGA